rnacentral:lncRNA from 1 species
GCGCUCAUAAUUACCAACAAAACAAAUGACUUUAUCUUUAUCGGCCAUGCCCAGCAGAGGCUCCUUUAAGAAGCCAUUCUUUUCAUUUUGCAUUGUACGACUCUUUGAUCUUUUAUUUGCCAAUUUGCAAAUGAUCCCAGACGCAUCACCAUGGGAGCAAAGCACUUUCUCUUCUUCUAAGGGCAUUAAUGAUAGAUAUAGAUAGUAGAAUGAGAAUUUUGAAGUUCGGUCUAACUGGUAGGUUAGCUAAUAGAUAUUUUAGUAAUCGAGUUUGGUUGAGAGUGGUAACAUAUAUGUCUAAAGGAAAAA